AAUGGAGUUUGAUUUUUCAUCGGAUCUUUUGUCUCGUCGAUUAGAGAAAUUACGAGAAAUACAGAGUAUCGAAACCGUUUCUAAUGAUAAACGAGUAUUAAAAUACAUUAUGAUUGAUAUUCUUAAUCUGAGGAAUGGAAUGGAAGAUAACCUACUCUUAAUCCAACAAAUCAACCCGAUGAAGGAGGGAGAGGAGCUGAAGGGGUUUAAUGACGUUGUUAUCCAGGCUGCCCAGCAACACAUUGACUCUAUUAACACAGUUUUUACACUUGGAGUAUCCUGGCUCAAAGAAGAAACUGAUUUUGCUUUAAGAUUUAUCCAAGGUGAUUCAGUUUUUCUACCGGAGCGGACUAAACAAAACGGAUUCAAGGCCGAGGAGAAUUCGGAUAAUUAUGAUGAAAGGUACGAGGAUAUGGAAGAGGAUUGCGAGGAGGAAGAUAUUAAGAUAGAUGUCAGAGAACUGGAGAAACUAGGAAGUAUAGAUCCAAAACAAAUCGCAGAUUCUCUCUGCAUGGUUCUCAAGGAAGAAACGGAACGAAAGGAAGAGAUGAAAGAAUCUGUGGGCGGCAACGAAUCCAAACAACUGCUCGACACAGAAAAUAUUGACUAUAAAUGUAACCAAUGUGAUUUUGUUGCCACCAGCCCCCUUCACAUGAAAGAACAUAAACAGAGCUGUCAUCACAAUAUGUUCCAUCACUGCGAUCUCUGCAAAUAUGUCGGGACUUCAAGGCUCAAACUGAAAAACCACAAUUUGCGGAAACACGACGGUAGAAGAUUUCCAUGUUAUGAUUGCGGACAUGUUGCUACCACAGCGAAGGGGUUGGAGAAACACGUUAAUCAGGACCAUUCGCGGAUAGACGAUCAUUGCGAUCAAUGUGAGUUCACUGGAACACGCUUCCAAGUAAGCGCACACAGGAAACGAAAUCAUUUAGAAGCUAAAUUUUCUUGUGAAUAUUGUGAUUUCAAAACUGGAAAAAUGUUGAUUUUGCGCCAACACACGAAGGGCCGCCAUGAAGGUGUCAAAUAUCCCUGUGAUCAAUGUGAUAGUGUGUUUACUGGAGAAAGAAACUUGAAACGCCACAUUAAAACUAUUCACGAAGGACAACGACACUUCUGUGAUCAGUGUGAAUACUCUUCAACUCAAUUCCAUCAGCUAAAAGACCACCAUGACGGAGUUCAUAAAGGGAUAACAUAUCCGUGUGAUCAAUGUGACUAUGUUGGAAACUUAUCGAGUAAUCUGAGAACUCACAAACGAUGGCGCCACGGUAACAUGGCGAGACCGGUAAAGAAGAAAAAAGAGAAGAUGGAGAAGGAUGAACCUGAGGAGAAAGUUGCUAAACCUGAGAAGAUUAAAUCUAAACCUGAAGAUACAAAACACCAGUGUGAUCAGUGUGGACAUCUAGCUAGCACCAAGGGAAACUUGAAACUACACAGGGAUAGGGUUCAUGAUAAAACUCAACUGUUUAUGUGUGAUCAGUGUAGUUUUACCACUCAUCAUUCUACAUCACUUAAACAACAUAAGGAGGGACAUGAAGGAACAGAGCAGCAUUGUGAUCAGUGUGCUUAUGUUGGCAAAACUUUGCACUAUUUGAGAAGACACAAGAAGGUUAAACACGACGGGAAAACUUUUCCCUGUGAUAUGUGUGAAUAUGCAGGACAGGAUAAAGCUCAUUUAAGAAUACACAAAGAGGCCGUUCAUCUAGGGGUAAAAUAUCAGUGUUUGCAAUGUGAGUUUGCUGCGACAGCAAAGACAACUUUGAAACAGCACGUUGAAAGUAAACAUGACAGGAUUAAACAUCCCUGUAACCGAUGUGAGUAUGUGGCAACAACGCAGUAUGGGUUGAAAAAGCAUCUGAAGAAUAAACAUGAUUUUGUUAACGUUCUUUGAAUAGUGCCUCUACGGCUUACAAACUUUUAAACCCAUUAUCUGAAAUAUGUUUUGUCUUGAACAGGAAAAAAUCACGUCAAUUUUGUGUCUACUCCAGAAGGCAGAAAUACAUAAAUAAUUUCAAAGAGAUAAAUGUCUGUGAAUACUCAAUUUUACAUAAACCCACUCAAAAUUACCAUAAACCAAGGGCAUGUAUUUUUUUGAUCCAGCCAGAAAAAUAAUUUUGAUUCAUAUUAUGUCUUAAGCUUUUUGUUAUCGAAUUUUAGGUGUUUGGAAAAGAAAACAAUUCUUGAAUCUUAAUGAAUUUUGAUUUAAAAACGCAGACUGACCACAUUUUGAAAAUCCCAAGAUAGGAGGAAUAUGAUGUUGAUAGGUUAAGAGAACAAUAACAGAAGAAGAUUCAUCAAUAAAUGCUGCAAUGAUCGAAGACGAUUUUAAAGUCAUUUUUGUUUACAUGUUAAUUGGGACACCUUGAUCAAAGCUUAAUACUCUCAUUUCAGUAUUUCCUUAGUGUACGAUUACCAUGCGGAAUAUCAAAGAAAGAUUAUAUUAAUCUGCAGUUUAAUAAAGGUCGAGAUCAAUCAUUUAUCUUGAUAUCCACAAUACAAGAGUUCCUGGCUCUGAACGACUCAAAAUGAGCGUGAUUAAUUAGGCCAAACGGUCAUUUGAAAAAAACAGGUCAUCGUGGGUUUUACCUUUUACAAAUUUGAUAUUUUUUUACAUUUUAACAUAUAAAAUACCAUAAUGUGAAAAAAAUGUUACAAACUUUUGUU
rnacentral:misc_RNA from 1 species